CCUACGGGGGACAGCAGUAGGGAAUCUUCCACAAUGGGCGAAAGCCUGAUGGAGCAACGCCGCGUGGGUGAAGAAGGUCUUCGGAUCGUAAAACCCUGUUGUUAGAGAAGAAAGUGCGUGAGAGUAACUGUUCACGUUUCGACGGUAUCUAACCAGAAAGCCACGGCUAACUACGUGCCAGCAGCCGCGGUAAUACGUAGGUGGCAAGCGUUAUCCGGAUUUAUUGGGCGUAAAGGGAACGCAGGCGGUCUUUUAAGUCUGAUGUGAAAGCCGUCGGCUUAACCGGAGUAGUGCAUUGGAAACUGGGAGACUUGAGUGCAGAAGAGGAGAGCGGAACUCCAUGUGUAGCGGUGAAAUGCGUAGAUAUAUGGAAGAACCCCAGUGGCGAAAGCGGCUCUCUGGGCUGUAACUGACGCUGAGGUUCGAAAGCGUGGGUAGCAAACAGGAUUAGAUACCCUUGUAGUC
rnacentral:rRNA from 1 species